AAAGUCGUAACAAGGUUUCCGUAGGUGAACCUGCGGAAGGAUCAUUAAAGAGACGUUGCCCUUCGGGGUAUACCUCCCACCCAUUGUUUAUUAUACCUUUGUUGCUUUGGCAGGCCCGCCCCCGGGCUGCUGGCUCCGGCCGGCUAGUGCCUGCCAGAGGACCUAAACUCUGUUUGUUUGUGAUGUCUGAGUACUAUAUAAUAGUUAAAACUUUCAACAACGGAUCUCUUGGUUCUG
rnacentral:misc_RNA from 1 species